UUGAUUCAGUGCCUUUGAGACCAGUCCAAGUCCUGCUGUUUCACAUGCUUUUACUGAGUAUUUACCUCAUUUUUGUUCAGGUGCACAUAGGGAAUGACAUUUACAUACCCAAAGACAAAUUCGAGUGGGCCAUGAAGAGCAAAAAGGACUCAAAAUUCUGUCGUGAGCUGGCCAGACAACUUUGGACGGAAGAACAGCUCCGCGGACGAAGUGUCACCGGCAAGGCUUCUAAUCGCUAUGCAAGGACAUGCUCAGCGAAACCAAUGCUGACACCUGUCAAGGUGCAGGCAGUGUUCAAUGCGUACAACCACUUUGUAAAGGAACGUGCAAGCAGCACACCUGAUCAAGGAAGACUGGGAAGCUUUAAUCUCCACAUGCGUUCUUUUUUAAAUGACUUGAAUAAACAAUAGUGCCCGUGUCACUACCCCUACCUACCCCUGGCUACCCUGCUACCCCGCUACCCCUGGCACAGUUUGCCCGUGGCUCUGAGGAAGAAAUAAAUAAGUUAUUAUUUUAA